GAUGAAGAACGUAGCGAAACGCGAUAUGUAAUGUGAAUUGCAGAAUUCAGGGAAUCAUCGAAUCUUUGAACGCACAUGGCGCCUUCCAGUAUCCUGGGAGGCAUGCCUGUCCGAGCGUCGUUUCAACCCUCGAGCCCCCGUGGCCCGGCGUUGGGGAUCUGCCCAGGCAGUCCCCGAAAACCAGUGGCGGACCCGUUACAGGCCCUUCCCUUGCGUAGUAGCAUUCGCCUCGCAUCGGGAGCCGGCGGGCUUCCAGCCUCUAAACCCCCAUCAAGUCCGCCCCGGCGGCACCAAGGUUGACCUCGGAUCAGGUAGGAAUACCCGCUGAACUUAAGCAUAUCAAUAAGCGGAGGA
rnacentral:misc_RNA from 1 species